CUCAGCCGUUGCUUAGUAGCUAAGGUAGUAGAGUUCAAAACAAACUUGAACUCAGCCGUUGCUUAGUAGCUAAGGUAGUAGAGUUCAAAACAAACUUGAACUCAGCCGUUGCUUAGUAGCUAAGGUAGUAGAGUUCAAAUCAAAUUUGAACUCCAUCUCUAGGAUAGACGGUUCCUAGGAUAGACGGUUCCUGAGUCCUAUAUAAGGACAUGUACUCAUCACUUGUAAGCUAAGCUAUUACGUAGAGAAAUAAAUCAAGAGCUUCAGCAUCA